AUUGAACGCUGGCGGCAUGCCUUACACAUGCAAGUCGAACGGCAGCACGGGAGCAAUCCUGGUGGCGAGUGGCGAACGGGUGAGUAAUAUAUCGGAACGUGCCCAGUCGUGGGGGAUAACGUAGCGAAAGCUACGCUAAUACCGCAUACGAUCUAUGGAUGAAAGCGGGGGAUCGCAAGACCUCGCGCGAUUGGAGCGGCCGAUAUCAGAUUAGGUAGUUGGUGAGGUAAAGGCUCACCAAGCCGACGAUCUGUAGCUGGUCUGAGAGGACGACCAGCCACACUGGGACUGAGACACGGCCCAGACUCCUACGGGAGGCAGCAGUGGGGAAUUUUUGGACAAUGGGCGGCAAGCCUGAUCCAGCAAUGCCGCGUGCAGGAUGAAGG
rnacentral:rRNA from 1 species